rnacentral:rRNA from 1 species
AACGAACGCUGGCGGCAUGCCUAACACAUGCAAGUCGAACGAGACCUUCGGGUCUAGUGGCGCACGGGUGCGUAACGCGUGGGAACCUGCCCUUAGGUUCGGAAUAACUCCCCGAAAGGGGUGCUAAUACCGGAUAAUGUCUUCGGACCAAAGAUUUAUCGCCUUUGGAUGGGCCCGCGUUGGAUUAGCUAGUUGGUAGGGUAAAAGCCUACCAAGGCGACGAUCCAUAGCUGGUCUGAGAGGAUGAUCAGCCACACUGGGACUGAGACACGGCCCAGACUCCUACGGGAGGCAGCAGUGGGGAAUAUUGGACAAUGGGCGAAAGCAUGAUCCAGCAAUGCCGGGUGAGUGAUGAAGGCAUUAGGGUUGUAAAGCGCUUUUACCCGGGAUGAUAAUGACAGUACCGGGAGAAUAAGCUCCGGCUAACUCCGUG